UGGUGCUUGCACCUGAUUGAUUUUGGUCGCCAACGAGUGGCGGACGGGUGAGUAACACGUAGGUAACCUGCCCAGAAGCGGGGGACAACAUUUGGAAACAGAUGCUAAUACCGCAUAACANCGUUGUUCGCAUGAACAACGCUUAAAAGAUGGCUUCUCGCUAUCACUUCUGGAUGGACCUGCGGUGCAUUAGCUUGUUGGUGGGGUAACGGCCUACCAAGGCGAUGAUGCAUAGCCGAGUUGAGAGACUGAUCGGCCACAAUGGGACUGAGACACGGCCCAUACUCCUACGGGAGGCAGCAGUAGGGAAUCUUCCACAAUGGGCGCAAGCCUGAUGGAGCAACACCGCGUGAGUGAAGAAGGGUUUCGGCUCGUAAAGCUCUGUUGUUAAAGAAGAACACGUAUGAGAGUAACUGUUCAUACGUUGACGGUAUUUAACCAGAAAGUCACGGCUAACUACGUGCCAGCAGCCGCGGUAAUACGUAGGUGGCAAGCGUUAUCCGGAUUUAUUGGGCGUAAAGAGAGUGCAGGCGGUUUUCUAAGUCUGAUGUGAAAGCCUUCGGCUUAACCGGAGAAGUGCAUCGGAAACUGGAUAACUUGAGUGCAGAAGAGGGUAGUGGAACUCCAUGUGUAGCGGUGGAAUGCGUAGAUAUAUGGAAGAACACCAGUGGCGAAGGCGGCUACCUGGUCUGCAACUGACGCUGAGACUCGAAAGCAUGGGUAGCGAACAGGAUUAGAUACCCUGGUAGUCCAUGCCGUAAACGAUGAGUGCUAGGUGUUGGAGGGUUUCCGCCCUUCAGUGCCGGAGCUAACGCAUUAAGCACUCCGCCUGGGGAGUACGACCGCAAGGUUGAAACUCAAAGGAAUUGACGGGGGCCCGCACAAGCGGUGGAGCAUGUGGUUUAAUUCGAAGCUACGCGAAGAACCUUACCAGGUCUUGACAUCUUGCGCCAACCCUAGAGAUAGGGCGUUUCCUUCGGGAACGCAAUGACAGGUGGUGCAUGGUCGUCGUCAGCUCGUGUCGUGAGAUGUUGGGUUAAGUCCCGCAACGAGCGCAACCCUUGUUACUAGUUGCCAGCAUUAAGUUGGGCACUCUAGUGAGACUGCCGGUGACAAACCGGAGGAAGGUGGGGACGACGUCAGAUCAUCAUGCCCCUUAUGACCUGGGCUACACACGUGCUACAAUGGACGGUACAACGAGUCGCGAACUCGCGAGGGCAAGCAAAUCUCUUAAAACCGUUCUCAGUUCGGACUGCAGGCUGCAACUCGCCUGCACGAAGUCGGAAUCGCUAGUAAUCGCGGAUCAGCAUGCCGCGGUGAAUACGUUCCCGGGCCUUGUACACACCGCCCGUCACACCAUGAGAGUUUGUAACACCCAAAGUC
rnacentral:rRNA from 2 species